AGCACUGUUUGGUACACGCUUAAGGAUAUUGCACCAUGUAAUAAAAAUCUCAGGAUCCAUCUUGUAAAGCUGAUUAAAACAUGCAAAUAUGAAUUUAUCCUCCGGCAGCCCAUAAUCUGAGCGCUUCAGUUGGCUGUUUGGAUCUAGCACGUCACAGUUUUUUUGCUUAUAAUCGUUGACAAAAUAGCAAUGAGGGAGAUGUACAAGCUUCUCUGAGUAAAUAUGU
rnacentral:misc_RNA from 1 species